rnacentral:ncRNA from 1 species
AUUGAGAAUAUGAUUACCAUAUAAGUUCACAAAUACGGUGUGGACGUUUCUACGCGAUGGCCGUAAACCAUCUACGCUAUGGUGUU